rnacentral:rRNA from 1 species
CCUACGGUAGGCUGCAGUGGGGAAUAUUGGACAAUGGGGGGAACCCUGAUCCAGCCAUGCCGCGUGUGUGAAGAAGGCCCUCGGGUUGUAAAGCACUUUCAGUGAGGAAGAACGCCUGGUGGUUAAUACCCAUCAGGAAAGACAUCACUCACAGAAGAAGCACCGGCUAACUCCGUGCCAGCAGCCGCGGUAAUACGGAGGGUGCGAGCGUUAAUCGGAAUUACUGGGCGUAAAGCGCGCGUAGGUGGCUUGAUAAGCCGGUUGUGAAAGCCCCGGGCUCAACCUGGGAAAGGCAUCCGGAACUGUCAAGCUUGAGUGCAGGAGAGGAAGGUGGAAUUCCCUGUGUAGCGGUGAAAUGCGUAGAGAUAGGGAGGAAUACCAGUGGCGAAGGCGGCCUUCUGGACUGACACUGACACUGAGGUGCGAAAGCGUGGGUAGCAAACAGGAUUAGAUACCCUAGUAGUC